GGGGAUGAUCGGCAUUGACGAGCUUAUAACCGUAGAAGUUGCACGCAGAGCCGGAUAACUCUUAAAACUUUCCAACAAAUACGUGUCAACAAACGCGUACCGGCGCUAGCAUACGCUUAGCGCCUGCCGCCUCUUUAGCGCUUGACUGAAGAGGACCGGCAUCAUACUUCAAGCUUACUUCAACUCUACGACCAUGGUGUUGAAGGAAACGCAUCGGUCAAAAUGUUUAGAUUUUUUGUUUGGUUUUAGUCUAAACAUCAAAACAACCAAACUAUGCCUGUAGAGACUUCUAUGCGAUUUGUUCGGACGCGGGUUCAAUUCCCGCCAUCUCCACA
rnacentral:tmRNA from 1 species